CACUGCACCACUUCUCCAUUUCCACCGUCCACCUACCGCGGAUUUCCUCCAUCGCGUCCCCUCUCGAUUCCCCAGCUCACACCCUCCCUGUCUUUUUCUCUUCUUUGUAUGCCUCCUCCUCCUCUAUCGAUCAGGCGAGGUAGCUUUGGAAGGUCUGUUGUUCCACAGACAACCAGCAUGUAGCCAUUGUUAGAUGGAAAGGAGAAGAAGACAAUGCAGGAGGGAUCUUUUGCCUAGG
rnacentral:lncRNA from 1 species